UGCCAGCCGCCGCGGUAAUACGUAGGGAGCGAGCGUUAUCCGGAAUUAUUGGGCGUAAAGCGUGCGUAGGCGGUUCGUUAAGUCAAAUCUGAAAGCCCACAGCUUAACUGUGGAGGGUGAUUUGAAACUGGCGAGCUUGAGUACGGCAGAGGUUAGUGGAAUUCAAUGUGUAGCGGUGGAAUGCGUAGAUAUAUUGAGGAACACCAGUGGCGAAGGCGGCUAACUGGACCGGAACUGACGCUGAUGCACGAAAGCGUGGGUAGCAAACAGGAUUAGAUA
rnacentral:rRNA from 1 species